rnacentral:rRNA from 1 species
GAUUACCCCUUGUACCUUUUGCAUAAUGAAUUAACUAGUAUAAGACUUAACAAAAUGAAUUUUAGCUAAGCAGCCCGAAACCAGACGAGCUACUCACAAACAGUUUACCAAGAACUAACUCAUCUAUGUGGCAAAAUAGUGAGAAGAUUUGUAAGUAGAGGUGACAUGCCUAACGAGCCUGGUGAUAGCUGGUUGUCCAGAAAAUGAAUCUAAGUUCAGCUUUAAAGAUACCAAAAAAUUCAAAUAAAACCCACUGUAGCUUUAAAAGUUCAAGUCUAACAAGGUACAGCCUUUUUAGAAACGGAUACAACCUUGACUAGAGAGUAACAAUUUAAACACUACCAUAGUAGGCCUAAAAGCAGCAUCAAUUANGAAAGCGUUAAGCUCAAACAACAAAAACUUACAUAGAUUCCAACACAAAUGAUUA